GGUGCACAUGAUGCUUCAUAGUGAUCAAAGUAUGACUUCAGUGAUUCCUCAUGUCUGACUGAAGCACC